GACGAACGCUGGCGGCGUGCUUAACACAUGCAAGUCGAACGGAAAGGCCCUGCUUUUGUGGUGUUCUCGUUUGGCGAACGGGUGUGUAACACGUGUGUAACCUGCUCUUGACUUUGGGAUAUCUUCAGGAAACUGGGGCUAAUACCGGAUAGGAGCUCCUGCUGCAUGGUGGGGGGGGGAAAGUUUCGGCGUUUGGGGAUGGGCUCGCGGCUUAUCAGCUUUUUGGUGGGGUAGUGGCUUACCAAGGCUUUGACGGGUAGCCGCCCUGAGAGGGUUCCCGGCGAAAUAGGGACUGAAAUCCGGCACGAACUCCUACGGGAGGAAGAAGUGGGAAUCAUUGACCAAGGGGGGAACGCCUGAGCCGGCAACGCCGCGUGCGGGAUGACGGCCUUCGGGUUGUAACCCGCUUUGGCCUGUGACGACGCCUGAGUGACGGUAAUGGGUAAAGAAGCACCGGCUAACUACGUG
rnacentral:rRNA from 1 species